rnacentral:sRNA from 1 species
ACAACAACAACAAAAAACUAGAACAACUGAUUUGUAUUGGUGCUCCAAGGAACGUAUAUAUUGAAGAGUAACUCACUUCAUCCAUAACCAACAGAGCUAAGGUCUUGGUUAUUGUAGAGUUGUUGUCACACAUGAACGAUGCAUGGAUAUUGUUAGUCAAAUUGUCGGAAAAGUUGCCGAGUAUGCAGUUGAACCAGCUAUACGUCAAGUGGGUUACCUAGUUCACUGCAAAAGAAACCUUGAGAGUUUACAGACUCGAGUGAACGAAUUAAGUGCCGCUAGAGAGCGGCUACAGCGCGACGUUGUUGGAGCUGAAGACAAAGGUGAAAAAAUCCACACUGUCGUCCAGAACUGGCUGAAAAGCGUGGAUGAGAUCACCGAGAAGGCGAACGAAUUACGCAGGAGAUCAACAAAGAUGAGCUGUCUCCGUGGGGUUUGUCCAAACCCGGUGCUCCGUUACAAGCUAGGCAGGAGAUCAACAAAGUUGGAGCAGGCGGUUGUUGAGCUCUACGACAAAGGAAAUUUCGCUAGGCAGGACAUUU